ACUCAAAUGAAUAGACGGGGGCCCGCACAAGCGGUGGAUCAUGUGGUUUAAUUCGAAGCAACGCGAAGAACCUUACCUGGAUUUGACAUCCUCUGACAACUGUAGAGAUACAGCUUUCGUAGCAAUACGACAGAGUGACAGGUGCUGCAUGGCUGUCGUCAGCUCGUGUGGUGACAUGUUGGGUUAAGUCCCGCAACGAGCGCAACCCUUGUCUUUAGUUGCCAGCAUUAAGUUGGGCUCUCUAAAGAGACUGCCGUGGUGAACACGGAGGAAGGUGGGGAUGACGUCAAGUCCUCAUGGCCUUUAUAUCCAGGGCGACACACGUGAUACAAUGGUAGGUACAGAGGGAAGCCAACCCGCAAGGGGGAGCCAAUCUCAAAAAGCCUAUCUCAGUUCGGAUUGGAGUCUGCAACUCGACUCCAUGAAGUUGGAAUCGCUAGUAAUCGCGGAUCAGCACGCCGCGGUGAAUACGUUCCCGGGCCUUGCACACACCGCCCGU
rnacentral:rRNA from 1 species